GUGGCCAAUUAAGUCAAAUGUGAAAUCCCCGAGCUUAACUUGGGAAUUGCAUUCGAUACUGGUUGGCUAGAGUAUGGGAGAGGAUGGUAGAAUUCCAGGUGUAGCGGUGAAAUGCGUAGAGAUCUGGAGGAAUACCGAUGGCGAAGGCAGCCAUCUGGCCUAAUACUGACACUGAGGUGCGAAAGCAUGGGGAGCAAACAGGAUUAGAUACCCUGGUAGUCCAUGCCGUAAACGAUGUCUACUAGCCGUUGGGGCCUUUGAGGCUUUUAGUGGCGCAGCUAACGCGAUAAGUAGACCGCCUGGGGAGUACGGUCGCAAGACUAAAACUCAAAAUGGAAUUGACGGGGGCCCGCACAAGCGGUGGAGCAUGUGGUUUAAUUCGAUGCAACGCGAAGAACCUUACCUGGUCUUGACAUAGUAAGAACUUUCCAGAGAUGGAUUGGUGCCUUCGGGAACUUACAUACAGGUGCUGCAUGGCUGUCGUCAGCUCGUGUCGUGAGAUGUUGGGUUAAGUCCCGCAACGAGCGCAACCCUUUUCCUUAUUUGCCAGCGGGUUAAGCCGGGAACUUUAAGGAUACUGCCAGUGACAAACUGGAGGAAGGCGGGGACGACGUCAAGUCAUCAUGGCCCUUACGACCAGGGCUACACACGUGCUACAAUGGUCGGUACAAAGGGUUGCUACCUCGCGAGAGGAUGCUAAUCUCAAAAAGCCGAUCGUAGUCCGGAUUGGAGUCUGCAACUCGACUCCAUGAGGUCGGAAUCG
rnacentral:rRNA from 1 species